GUCUAGAGGCUUCCGCAAUGGACGAAAGUCUGACGGAGCGACGCCGCGUGUGGGAUGAAAGCCGUGAGGUCGUAAACCACUGUCAACGGGGAAGAAUGCCUGAAUGGUGAAUUCAGGAGGGACGGUACCCGUGGAGGAAGCCCCGGCUAACUACGUGCCAGCAGCCGCGGUAAUACGUAGGGGGCGAGCGUUGUUCGGAUUUACUGGGCGUAAAGCGUGCGUAGGCGGUCUGGCAAGUCUGGCGUGAAAUCCGCACCACUUAACGGGCGGGUGUCGUUGGAUACUGCUAGGCUAGAGGACGAGAGAGGAAAGCGGAAUUCCAGGUGUAGCGGUGGAAUGCGCAGAUAUCUGGAAGAACACCAGUGGCGAAGGCGGCUUUCUGGCUCGUUUCUGACGCUGAUGCACGAAAGCCAGGGGAGCGAACGGGAUUAGAAACCCUUGUAGUCC
rnacentral:rRNA from 1 species